rnacentral:rRNA from 1 species
GACGAACGCUGGCGGCGUGCUUAACACAUGCAAGUCGAACGGUGAAGGGGAGCUUGCUCCCUGGAUCAGUGGCGAACGGGUGAGUAACACGUGGGCAACCUGCCCCUGACUUCGGGAUAACGCUUCGAAAGAGGUGCUAAUACCGGAUAUGAACCCUGAGGGCAUCCUCGGGGUUGGAAAGUUUUUCGGUCAGGGAUGGGCCCGCGGCCUAUCAGCUUGUUGGUGAGGUAGUGGCUCACCAAGGCGACGACGGGUAGCCGGCCUGAGAGGGCGACCGGCCACACUGGGACUGAGACACGGCCCAGACUCCUACGGGAGGCAGCAGUGGGGAAUAUUGCGCAAUGGGCGAAAGCCUGACGCAGCAACGCCGCGUGAGGGAUGAAGGCCUUCGGGUUGUAAACCUCUUUCAGCAGGGAAGAAGCGAAAGUGACGGUACCUGCAGAAGAAGCACCGGCUAACUACGUGCCAGCCGCCGCCGUAA